UGUAGGCUGCAACUCGCCUACAUGAAGCUGGAAUUGCUAGUAAUCACAGGUCAGCAUACUGUGGUGAAUACGUUCCCGGGCCUUGUACACACCGCCCGUCACACCAUGAGAGUUGAGAAUACCCGAAGUCCAUGUCAAAGUGGCCGAAGGUAGGCUUGAUGAUUGGGGUGAAGUCGUAACAAGGUACC
rnacentral:rRNA from 1 species